UCGUUGCCGUACUCUCUCGUACUGAAAGGGAGAUGCAAAAUGCAUCCGUGGUGUGCACACAAAUUUUUUUUUUUUUUGCCCAACACCGGCCGGCCCCCCGUGGGUUGAGUUGGAGUGUGCCUGUUUGGACCCGAAAGGUGGUGAACUAUGCCUGAACAAGGUGAAGCCCGGGGAAACCCAGGUGGAGGCCUGUAGCGAUGCUGACGUGCAAAUCGCUCGUACGAUUUGGGUAUCGGAGCGAAAGACUCAUCGAACCACCUAGUAGCUGGUUCACAUCGAAGUUUCCCUCAGGAUAGCUGGUGCUUGUUUGAAGAAGUAUUGUGCGGUAAAGCAAAUGAUUAGAGGCAUUGGUGUUCUUAGAAUAUCGACCUAUUCUCAAACUUUAAAUGUGCAAACAAACCGUACCUUAGCUAGUAUUUUUAUGUGCAAGGUCGGAAGGACAAGAAUUAAGGCACCAAGUGGGC
rnacentral:rRNA from 1 species